rnacentral:rRNA from 1 species
CAGGUGCUGCACGGCUGUCGUCAGCUCGUGUCGUGAGAUGUUGGGUUAAGUCCCGCAACGAGCGCAACCCUCGUCCUUAGUUGCUAACGAUUCGGUCGAGCACUCUAAGGAGACUGCCUUCGUAAGGAGGAGGAAGGUGGGGACGACGUCAAGUCAUCAUGGCCCUUACGCCUAGGGCGACACACGUGCUACAAUGGCAUAUACAAUGAGACGCAAUACCGCGAGGUGGAGCAAAUCUAUAAAAUAUGUCCCAGUUCGGAUUGUUCUCUGCAACUCGAGAGCAUGAAGCCGGAAUCGCUAGUAAUCGCAAAUCAGCCAUGUUGCGGUGAAUACGUUCCCGGGUCUUGUACUCACCGCCCGUCACACCAUGGGAGUUGAUUUCACUCGAAGUGGAAAUACUAAACUAGUUAUCCCCCACAGUGGAAUCAGCGACUGGGGUGAAGUCGUAACAAGGUAACCGUAGGAGAACCUGCGGUUGGAUCACCUCCUUUCUA